CUUUUCAGUUGGGGCUUUCAUGAUGCCACGUGCUCCUGAAUCUACCUGUGGAGUUUCCUUGUCAAGUCACCUCUAAAUUUGGGAUUGUUGUUCCUCUGUGCAGCUAAAAAUUCUCCAGAAGGCGUCUGGACAUGAUCUUUUAAGUGAAUUCCCUCUGUUGUCAUCAGGACGUCUUGGAUCAUCACUGUGUCAAGAUUACAUGAAAAUGACUCCGUGUCUUGGCAACAGGGAGUGUGAGGGAACCAGUGCGAGCAGACAAAGACACCUCCUUCUGCUUGACGAAUGUGGCUGAGCCUGAGCGAGGAGGCAGGCAGGCGAGAGAUGGCUUCUGUGCACCAGCAUGGGGGUAAAAAGUGGGUCAUAAGGAAAUCCCCAUAUGGAUGACCCCCCCCCCCCAACCCAAUGCCCUACUCCUGCUGGACAAUUUUGCACAGCCAAAAGUCCUCCAAAACUAACCCAGAGCCCAAAGGCGAAAGCACCAAGGGGACUUUUUCUUGACUACAUGUACAGGGAGCUGCCAGUUUAUAAGUAACAGUUUCUGCCUUGACUUACUUAUUUACUGUCAAACACAUGAUGUGUCACGAGACUGAAUGUCGAAUUCAUGCAUCAUUCUGUGUAUGUCAGUGAAAAAGAAUCAACAUAAAAAGGCAAAAUGUUUUGAGUCCUGCAAACUGUGCAAUCACAUCCAUACUGAAGACCAGUAAAAAUAAAGUAUCAACCUCCUGUCCAA